rnacentral:rRNA from 1 species
AGCUUAUUUGUCUACAAGCCUAAUCACUCGACCAUCACCUCAAUCCUCUACCACUACUGAGUAAUUCUAUAACACUAUAGAAAAUUUUAUGUUAAAACUAGUAACAUGAAGGAAGUUCUUCUCUUCAAUGCAAGUGUACAUCAGUAAGGAUAAACCACUGAUAAUUAACGCACAAUGAAACCAGAGUAGGAACUCAAUCAAGAAAAAUCUACUCUCACUAGCGUUAACCUAACACAAGAGCAUUACAAGAAAGAUUAAAAGAAAAAGAAGGAACUCGGCAAAUAUUAACCUCGCCUGUUUACCAAAAACAUCGCCUCUUGAAUCAUUAUAAGAGGUCCAGCCUGCCCAGUGACCAUGUUCAACGGCCGCGGUAUCCUAACCGUGCGAAGGUAGCGUAAUCACUUGUUCUUUAAAUGUGGACUAGUAUGAAUGGCACCACGAAGGUUAUACUGUCUCCUUUUUCUAAUCAGUGAAACUAAUCUCCCCGUGAAGAAGCGGGGAUAACUCUAUAAGACGAGAAGACCCUAUGGAGCUUUAAAACAAUAUAACAAUUGCUUCACAACACGUAAUUUCCCGAAUUCUCCACUCCUUUAAGCAAUGUGUUUACAAGUUUUUGGUUGGGGUGACCGCGGAGCAUAACACAACCUCCAUGUUGAAAGAAUUUUUCUAAGCUAAGGCCAACUAGCCUAGGCAUCAGUACUCUGACAUUCAUUGACCCAAUAUAUUUGAACAACGAACCAAGUUACCCUAGGGAUAACAGCGCAAUCCACUUCAAGAGCUCCUAUCGACAAGUGGGUUUACGACCUCGAUGUUGGAUCAGGGUAUCCCAGUGGUGCAGCCGCUACUAAG